rnacentral:rRNA from 1 species
UCUAGCAUGAAGUCAGACAAGUGAACCCGCUAA